GGAUGCGAUCAUACCAGCAAUAAAGCACCAGAUCCCAUCAGAACUCCGAAGUUAAGCGUGCUUGGGCGAGAGUAGUACUAGGAUGGGUGACCUCCAGGGAAGUCCUCGUGUUGCAUUCC
rnacentral:rRNA from 1 species